CUUCUACUGUAUGACAUAUCAUUUGAAUAUGCCAAAUAGCUCCUCCUCCAUUUCCUAUUGCUACAGCGUUGUAGGGGUUGGACUGGAGUAGAGCACAUUACGUCCAUAAUGAGUCGAGACAUGAAAGAAUGUACGAAACUGUAGUUUUCCAAAAAUAAUAUCGUGGGUCACUUCAGGGACUCGAGCUAUUCAACUCCUUGUCCAGAUGUGACUGUUUCAGAACUGUUAUGUCAAACAUGAAAAGACAAAGUUCAUGGCAGGAGGAUAUCGCCCGAAACUUUUCCAGACUAUUUCAAAGAACUAGAUCUCAAGAACCUGAGAAAACAGAGGAAAGCAACAUCAGUGGCCAGGAGAAUUCAGUCAGCAGCAGCCUCAGCAGUGAGACCAAUGAAGGUGAACCAUCUCUCCACCAAGAAGACCUGGAGCUGUCCAAGCCGUCCUCCUCCCUCACAUGGUUCCGCAUUAGCUGCUAGCCUCUCUGUCUGGACUGAAAAU
rnacentral:lncRNA from 1 species